AUUCGCUGGCUGGUGACAGAGUCCCUAAGCCGCCCCCAGGCUCCCAGUCCCAGCCCGCCUCGGCGCCUCACCUGCAGCGGUCGGGGGAAUCACGAGGAGCGCGCCCGGACCACGGAGCGGAAAUGCCCAGCUGGGCGGGUGUCGCAACCAAACCGCCCCGGGCGGCGCUCCUGCUGGUCUCUCGCCGCUCCGCCCGCCCCGGCAGCGCCACGGAGCGCACCUGGCAGCGCGCACGCCACUCCCCAUGUGCCGGAACCGCGCAGGAGCCAGGCAGACUGCUAUCUUCACUUUAUACAAGGACAAACUGAAUGAUGGACCGAGCAAAACUUGAAUGCAUGAUACACAGUAUUGAAAAUACUACUUGAGAAGACCCAAGGAGAACAUGAGAAGACAUGAGACACACCCACAACCUAGUGGGUGGAAGAGACAUGGGAUGGCAACUCAGUACACUACUAACAGACAUUUUAGACCAUGUUUAAAUCCUCUCCCAGAUACCAGUUAUAUCCAAAGUGGGACAUAAAGCACAGCAAAGCAACACUAACUUCUGAAUAUUCUUACAGCCAAGUACAUGUUCUGUAUGUUUUGGAAAACAAGCCAUCUACCUCCUGUCUACACAGUUUAGAUGGUUUACUAGUUUUCAAUUCUAUCAAAGUACCACCAAGGUUUUUAAAGGGAUGGUUGGGUUUUUAUAAAGAAGGCAGCAGAGGGCUACUUGGUAGAAAACUCGCCUACCACAUCCAAGGCCCUGGGACUGAUCUCCAGUAUCGUAAGAUAGCACAACAAGGGUAACAGAGCCCACCACCCCACCCCAAACCAGUUGAACCUGGUCUACUAUGGGCUGAGAAAUCAGAUCUAACCAUCAGCAUUGUAUUUUAACUAAGAAUCCAUUCCUCUCAGAAAAGACCUGAAAGCAGAUCCUAUGUGUACCUAGCUGUUUCCAGCAUGCUGAAGGGUAGGUAGUGUGGCUCAAUGAUAGGCCUCAGAAUAAAUGAGACCUGAUCACACCCACUCCUCAACACUAAUUUUCAUUACAUUAUGGUUUUCAUCACAUUAUGUUCAGGUAUGUUAGAGGAAAUUUCGUUUUCUAGAAAGACAUUAGCAUCAUUAUGUGUGCUGGGGUACUGGAUGUGCUCUUGCGGCUAGAAGUCAGUAUCAGAUGUCUUCUUAAAUUGUUAUCCAAUUUAUUUUUUUAAGUCAGGGACAGGGUUCUCACUGACCUUGGAGCUCAUUAAUUAGGUUAAUCCAGCUGGCUAGUGAGGGGAUCCUGUCUCUAUUUCCCAGUGUUGGGGUUGUAUGGUAUCUACCACCGUGCCUGGGCUUUUAUGUGGGUGAGGAGGGUGUGACUUGUGGCCUCAUGCCUGCACUGUGAGCAUUUUACCGAUUGAGCCAUCUCCCCACUCUCUAGAAAAGGUUAUUUUUGUUAACAUCAAUUAACCCAGAUUUAUUUUCAUUCUUCCUCCCUCCCUUCCUUCCCCACUCCCUUCUUUCUUUUCCUGGAGUCUCUCUGUGUCAUCCUAAGGGCCUCAGACACAGAGAUUUGCCUGCCUCUCCCUGCCAAAUGCUGGGACCAAAGCUGCAUACCACCACACCCAGCUUAUUUAUCUUUUAAACUCUAGGACUAACACUGGUCAGCAGCACGCCCUGACUAGCCUGUGGGAAUGUCACUGGUCUGCAUGCCUUGGUUAGCCCACAGAAUGAUGGAUGGUGGAACACCUUCUCAUCAUCUCCUUCUCCUCUGUACCUGUGUUAUCCAGAAGUAUGAUCAUGUUGUUCCACGCCAGGCUGUGCUCCGGCUUCAGUACGGUGGCAUUUCUCCAAGCGUUCAAUGCAUCCACGUGGCGAUUUAGAUCUGCAUACUGAAAAUAAAGACCCGCCCCCCCUAGAGUCAAUAUUCCAACUCUUAUUCCUUGUUCCCUUUCUAUGACAUUAUCACAAAGACACACAAAAUCCCUCAGAACAAACAAUAACUACUACCUUACUUCCUAUCAACCUGUGUACUUAAAAGCACAACCUCAAUGAGUAGAUGCCAUCACAAUCCGAGCUUUACAGAAGGAACCAAGACAAGAGGGAAAUGAGUGACUUGCUCUGCUAAACAUCUAGAGGUAGUGUUAGGUGACCUGGGUCUUGAGUUAAGGAACAUUAUUACCUUUUAUGUAUUGACCACAAAUAUGACGUCACACUUCAAGCUACUGAGAAACACUGAUGAUUCUGUUCCAGAAAGGCCCUAUAGUUUAUCUUUGAUUAAGUGUUAUUUGGACCAGUAAAUGAGUAUCUGAUAUAAUCAGAAAGGUGUAGUAGGCUUGGGAAAUGGCUCAGCGGGUAGCUGUUGCACAUCCCCAGCACCUGCAUAAAGCCAAGCCUGUUGGCAUACACAUGCAAGCCCAGAACUGGGGGUGGGGAGAACACAGAGACAGGUGCACCCCAGGAGGCUCACUGGCCAGUGAGCCUAGUUGAAAUGGCAAGGUCUGAAAUGGUGAGACCCUGCCUCAAAACAUAAGGACAGCCACAGAGGAAGGUACCUAAGGUUGAUCUUUGGCCUCCAUAUGCACACACAUAGGCUCAGCUACCCACACAGAAGUGAUUGGGGUGGGAGGGAAGCCAGAGCACACAUGCAUUCCAUAUGCCUAUUUGCUUGCGAAGAAUGUUUUAGAAACCUCUUAUGAAUAUCUAAACUCAAAAUACAAAUAUGAGCCAUUCAGAUAUAUUUUUGCAAACUUUUUUGGAGACCCAUAUAGUCACAUAAGAUCCCUCAGCAGUCUGGAUCAGCUUGGCUUGUGUGAAAGAAGAACAUCAUCUUUGCUUUCUCUGGACAGAUUUCAUUUAACAUCCGUAACAAUAUAAAACAGAUAGAGAUAGCUCUAAUCUGCACAGUCAUCAGAAGUCAGAGGGACAAAGUGAUGGAUUCUUUUCUUUUUCCAUUUAUGUGUGUGUGUGUGUGUGGUAUGUUCGUGUGCUUGUGUGUAUGUUUUUUUGCAUGUAUAUGGGUAUAUGUGCACAUGUGAGCACCUGCAUGUGGUGGUCCAAGGAUGCUAGGAAUCAUCUUCCAUGGCCUUUUCACUUUCUUCACUGAGGCGUGGUCUCUCAAUCAACCCCAGAACUCACUAAAAUGGCUACUCCCACUAGCUAGCUUUCUCUGGGAACCCCAACUCAAUGGUCAUCAUGUCCACCUGGUAUCCACAUGGAGUUCUGGGCAUCUGAACUCAGGUCCUCAUGCUUGUACAGAAAUUGCUUUAAUUUUUCUGCCUUCUGAUGGAUUCUUUAGCAGGUGAUCCGACCCUCUUAAACUCAGGUCAAAGGUACAUUUCAUCUGAAUAUACUCCAUCCCUUAACUCUGCAUGGAGUCCCCAUGACAGGAAUCUAUGGCAGCUUUAGCUUAUAAUUUCCUACUGCUUAUUAAGCACAUUUUCCACUGGACAACAGAAACAUUUUGACUUGUUCUAUGUCCCACACAACAAGUAGGUGACAUGAGGUCAGAUGAAUUAUGAAAACAUUUACAAACAUCUUUUUUGUUAAAGAGAAUUUCUCAAAUUUCUCACGAGGCUUAAGACUGUCAGGUUGCAAUGUUUUACCCUUUAGGAAAGCAUUAGGAAAUGGUGUAAAAAUUCAAAUAAAUACAGCUGUUUAAAUAUACC
rnacentral:lncRNA from 1 species